AGAGUGCAGCCAACUAUUUCAAUUGCCUAUAUAUAUAUAUAUAUAUAUAUAUAGGCAAUUGAAAUAGUUGGCUGCACACU